AAACAUAACAAAAGCUUUUUGGCCAAACUUUACGAAUAAUCUACGGUAUGAUAAAGCGGUCAAAUGUAUGGAAAAACCAGAAUGUACUUAGAUGGAGCAUCUCAUUCGGAAAAUAUAUGGAACAUUUUACAACUAUGCAGUGGCAAGAAGGAAGCUAAAAAAAGCCGAGGAGUUGUCUGAUAUUAAUUCUGGCACUGACAUAGAAGAAAAUUUAAAAAAAUCAAGAAAAAUCAGAGCCGCUAAAGUAAUGGAUGAAACAAGUAACGAUGAAUUAACCGAUAAAAUGGAACUAAUUUCAGAAAUUCCGAAAUAUCCAAAUAAACAUUCCGUGACUGCAAAAACCACAAAAAAACCAGUACAAAUUACAAAAGAUUCACAAAAAAAUAAGCACGGUAAAACAGUAACAAAAAUAAAUUAAAUAACAAUAACAAAUAUACACUAAAUCAAUAAUUUAAUAAUAAAAUACUGAUUUAUUACAGAUUGUAAUUAUUCUGGGAACAAAUGUUUAAAAAGGUCGCAAAUAAAAAUUAACUUUUCUAUAGACAAGAAAUUAAAUAAAUCUGGUAUGAUUUUCUGUUAUUUAUACCAUUGUAGUGAAGUAAUAUAUUGAAAUGGUACAAUAAAACUAUAUUUAUUUUAGAUUUGUAUUGCGAAGAAAAUUUGUUUGCUGUAAUCGCAAAACCGUUUGUUGAAGAUGAUACUGUCUGUCCAGAGAAUGCGACAUUAAGUCUAAAAAUGAUUUAUAAGCAAGAUCAGCAGUACGAUCAAAAGUUGAUUAAUACAGAACAAUCGUUUGAUGAUAAAAAUAACGCGAACAUACCAAUUCCACCUAAAAGCAAAUUAUCAUAUUCAUUAAUUGAUAAGCAAGGUAUAAUACAAAUAAUUGUAUAUUUAUA